rfam:Schistosoma rodhaini strain Burundi genome assembly, scaffold: SROB_scaffold0000279
GCCCUGCUGAGGGGUCCCAUAAUAGGACGAAACGGUCGUGCAGUGC